CUCUUCUAAGCAUGCAUUUCUCCAUUUUACUGUGAAUAAGGGAAACGAAGAAUUGCAAGGCGAUAGAGUGAUACAGAUCUGUCCUCUUUCCCUUCCUAGAUGUCCAAACAACCAAUGUUGCUGUACAAUGAGGGUGAGUGCAAUGAGUGUACAGUGAAUUCUGGUCUUCUGCUUUUCUCUGGGCGAUGAGGUGACCUUCCACACUAGAAGAGGUCAUUUGCAUUCAGCUGAGAGAAGGAAAAAGGAGUGCUUUGUGGAAGCACUGAGCCAGUAGUGUUCUCUCAGUUUUCUCUUUCUCUUCCUACUUUCAGGAAGUCCCUAGGAGGAAAUUUCUCAGGAGGUUUUACAGCUUCACUCUUCAGGGAAUUUCAUGAUGAAAACAGGGCAUCUAGAGGACUUCCAGAUUCUGAAGUUUCCUGCAACUGAAGUUCUGAGCAGCUCUGUUUCUCCUCAGAAGAUCUGUCUGUGUGCAUAUGUCAGCCCAGAAAGAUUGUGGCCCCUCUGUCAGCCCAGGUGUUCUGCUUUGAAAAUAGUUGUUCACAAAAGUACAUACUGCCAGAAAGAGAUGACACAGAUAAGGUGUGAUGGUGAAGCGAGGGAUAUUUUUCUCAG